rnacentral:rRNA from 1 species
UGACUUAGUGGCGAACGGGUGAGUAACGCGUGGGUAACCUGCCUCAUACAGGGGGAUAACAGUUAGAAAUGACUGCUAAUACCGCAUAAGACCACAGCACCGCAUGGUGCGGGGGUAAAAACUCCGGUGGUAUGAGAUGGACCCGCGUCUGAUUAGCUAGUUGGUAAGGUAACGGCUUACCAAGGCGACGAUCAGUAGCCGACCUGAGAGGGUGACCGGCCACAUUGGGACUGAGACACGGCCCAAACUCCUACGGGAGGCAGCAGUGGGGAAUAUUGCACAAUGGGGGAAACCCUGAUGCAGCGACGCCGCGUGAGCGAAGAAGUAUUUCGGUAUGUAAAGCUCUAUCAGCAGGGAAGAAAAUGACGGUACCUGACUAAGAAGCACCGGCUAAAUACGUGCCAGCAGCCGCGGUAAUACGUAUGGUGCAAGCGUUAUCCGGAUUUACUGGGUGUAAAGGGAGCGUAGACGGAUGGGCAAGUCUGAUGUGAAAACCCGGGGCUCAACCCCGGGACUGCAUUGGAAACUGUUCAUCUAGAGUGCUGGAGAGGUAAGUGGAAUUCCUAGUGUAGCGGUGAAAUGCGUAGAUAUUAGGAGGAACACCAGUGGCGAAGGCGGCUUACUGGACAGUAACUGACGUUGAGGCUCGAAAGCGUGGGGA